GCCAGCAUGGCAUAGUGAUUUGAGCAUUGGACUACAACUCUGAAUACCAGGUUCAAAUCCUGGUUUGUCC